AUCCUUUUGUAGUUCAUAAGCGUGAUGAUUGGGUUUUCACGCGCGUGCGUGAGAUGUGCCUCCCUCAAACCUUGUUACGACAUUGGCACAUUACCCGUCUGACG
ensembl:snoRNA